AGAGACAGCAGCCGCCACGGUAAUACAGAGGGUGCGAGCGUUAAUCGGAUUUACUGGGCGUAAAGCGUGCGUAGGCGGCUUUUUAAGUCGGAUGUGAAAUCCCUGAGCUUAACUUAGGAAUUGCAUUCGAUACUGGGAAGCUAGAGUAUGGGAGAGGAUGGUAGAAUUCCAGGUGUAGCGGUGAAAUGCGUAGAGAUCUGGAGGAAUACCGAUGGCGAAGGCAGCCAUCUGGCCUAAUACUGACGCUGAGGUACGAAAGCAUGGGGAGCAAACAGGAUUAGAUACCCCGGUAGUCCCUGUCUCUUAUAC
rnacentral:rRNA from 1 species